GGCCAUAUCACAUUGAAACAUCACUUCUCGUAGGAUCAUGGAAGUUAAGCAACGUCAAGUCUGGUCAAUACUUAGAUGGGUGACCGCUUUGGAAUACCAGGUGCUGUAA